AUUCGUGCAGAUUAUCUUUUCUGUAAAUGCCAUCUCAUAUUUUUAUUCAACUGGUUUGGUUUGGCUUUGACCAUGGGCUAAGAUUAUUUGCUAAACCGUUUCCUUGUCUCCAGAUGGUUGCUCGAAUGGUUGAUCUUUUUUUGAUAACAAGUGAAUAAAUAUGGAUUAAGUUAUUAAUUGAGCUCAUAUUUUGUCCACAAAUGUUCUCUCUGUUCCCAUUUGGAAGCAUCAGAGUUAGCCUAUUUUAUUGAGAGAUCGUUUGUGCAUUAGCUUCAUGGGCAAUUCUAGUGCAGCCUGAUUGUUUAGGUGGUCAUACAGAAGACGUAUGUGUUCUGUGUGGGAUGGCCUAGAAGAGUGACUCCCAUCUGUUUAUCUUCUGUCCUUUUUCUGUUAGUGUGUGGGCUCAUUUUCUGCAGCAGAAUGGAAUUCACAGGUCUGUUCUUCAAAUACGUUGUGAGUUGAAGUGGUGUGUCCAGCAUAGAGGUGAUUCUUUUUUAAUGCACUCUGUGUUCAAGCUGUCCUUGGCGGCUGUGGUUCAUCAUCUAUGGUGUGAAAGAAAGAAAACAGUAUUUCAGAGACAGUCCUUUCAUUGACUGGUUCUUAUGGUUAUUGUUCUAAUUUGAGGGGUUGCAUUGUAUCAUGGAGGCAUGUGUACAUCUUUUUUUGGUAAAUCUGCUUUGAUAUCGAAGAACAAUAAGUCUACAGCCUAGGAAAGAAACCCAUGCCCGAACCCAUGAUAGCUGAUGUGGACUGGGCCCCGCGUCAGCUUUAAGUUUAAAAAAACAACAAAGUACUAAAAUUUUUGAAUCGGUGCCCUAGCAAACAGAUAAACCAGAACAGACCAAACCAUGACCGCCGCCGCCACCUGCGACCUUCCCUCCACUGACCACCACCACCACGAGUGGCGAUUUUCGCCUUCGCGACUUCCGACACGACCACGCCUUGCCAAGAUUCUUGUAACUGGUGCUGGAAUUGGCCAGAAAUGUGGCGAGGGACAACAAGAAGACCCGUAUCGUGCUGCGACACAUCUUCCGGUGAAGAUCCUAAUGAUGCUUCAAACAUCUUCCAGUGUUGAUGCCGACGAUGACGAGAGGAGACCAGUAUCGAGGAGGAGGAGGAUGAAGAAGACGAGGAGAAUGAGGAGGAGGAUAGUGAGGGUGGUAGUAGUUCUUUUUCUUUUUUUCUCCCAGCUUAAGGGAGAGGAAAAAUGUUAUGACCAUAUACUGGUUUUUGUAUCCAGAAGACUAUGUAUACUGGUUCUUUUAUGUUUCAAAACUUUAAACUUGAAUGUGUUUGAUGAUUUACAACUUUGGCUUUGUGAAUGGUAAUUAGGAUGAGAAAUGCCCGGUGUGGGCUUGUGC